GUAAUAAUCCUGUAGUCGAAAAUGUUGUCUCUCUUGAGUGGAUCCUGAGUACGACGGAGCACGUGAAAUUCCGUCGGAAUCUGGGAGGACCAUCUCCUAAGGCUAAAUACUCUCUAGUGACCGAUAGUGAACCAGUACCGUGAGGGAAAGGUGAAAAGCACCCCGGAAGGGGAGUGAAAUAGAACCUGAAACCGUGUGCUUACAAGUAGUCAGAGCCCGUUAAUGGGUGAUGGCGUGCCUUUUGUAGAAUGAACCGGCGAGUUACGAUUUGAUGCAAGGUUAAGCAGUAAAUGUGGAGCCGUAGCGAAAGCGAGUCUGAAUAGGGCGUUUAGUAUUUGGUCGUAGACCCGAAACCAGGUGAUCUACCCUUGGUCAGGUUGAAGUUCAGGUAACACUGAAUGGAGGACCGAACCGACUUACGUUGAAAAGUGAGCGGAUGAACUGAGGGUAGCGGAGAAAUUCCAAUCGAACCUGGAGAUAGCUGGUUCUCUCCGAAAUAGCUUUAGGGCUAGCCUCAAGUGAUGAUUAUUGGAGGUAGAGCACUGUUUGGACGAGGGGCCCCUCUCGGGUUACCGAAUUCAGACAAACUCCGAAUGCCAAUUAAUUUAACUUGGGAGUCAGAACAUGGGUGAUAAGGUCCGUGUUCGAAAGGGAAACAGCCCAGACCACCAGCUAAGGUCCCAAAAUAUAUGUUAAGUGGAAAAGGAUGUGGCGUUGCCCAGACAACUAGGAUGUUGGCUUAGAAGCAGCCAUCAUUUAAAGAGUGCGUAAUAGCUCACUAGUCGAGUGACACUGCGCCGAAAAUGUACCGGGGCUAAACAUAUUACCGAAGCUGUGGAUUGUCCUUUGGACAAUGGUAGGAGAGCGUUCUAAGGGCGUUGAAGCAUGAUCGUAAGGACAUGUGGAGCGCUUAGAAGUGAGAAUGCCGGUGUGAGUAGCGAAAGACGGGUGAGAAUCCCGUCCACCGAUUG
rnacentral:rRNA from 1 species